AAACCGCAGUCCCCAAACAACCUAAGAAGCAAGCAAGUUACUGUUAGCGCUUUGCAGGUGGAGAGGCUCGAAACAAUCAAGAAUGCUAUCAACUAGACAUCAAGGGAAACAGAAGCGGCCGAAUGUCUGUGGUUCAGUGGGAGAAUGGACGCUCUGGGUUCAUCCCCGGCACCGUCAGAAAAGAAAACCCGGAAUGAACAAGCACCAUUACAGCAAGAAAGUACAAAGAAAGUGCUUUGGGAAGUAAGAAACAGAAAGCUGGUCCUUCAUUUUCUGCCAAAGGAGAAUAUAAGCCUGGCCGAGCUGUAAAAAUAAAACUUUGCCUUGCACUGUC
rnacentral:lncRNA from 1 species